GGCCCUUCAGGGCCGUGCGCUCGUACCCCUGCCCCCAGGACUGCCCCUCAUUGGGGGCUGCUCACCUGAGCGGGCCCCUCAGGUGCCAUUCCAAAUGCAGCCGCUCCCGGUGCCGCUCCCUGGGCAAGCGGUUGGACGGGAUGGGCUCCGGAGGUGCCUGCCGUGCUGAACCCCUGGGGGAUUCUGUGAGCAGAGCAGCCCGGAACCCCCGCGGAAACCAACACAGCGUUCCGAGCUACAGGGAGGGCCCGUGGAGGCCCCAGCGAGGAUGAAGGGUCUGGGGUUUCUCUCUCAGGAGGACUCUGGAGGAACUGCUCAAUCCCUACAAAUAUCUCAGGAGAAGGGACUCUGGAGGAGCUGCUCAAUCCCUACAAAUAUCUCAGGAGAAGGGACUCUGGAGUCCCUGGGCCUGAGAGAGGCUCCUCAGUCCGUACCAAUAUCUCCAAGGAGUGGCAGAAAAUGUUCCCGGACUCUUUGUAGCAGUGCCCAGCAAUCGGGCAAGGAGAAAUGGCCAUAAACGAAAACACAAAAAAUCCCACCUGAACCUGAGGAAGAAUUUUCCAUCAAGGGUGGCAGAUGACUAGAACAGCUGCCCAGGGACAUCGGGCAGUCUGUGUCUCUGGAGACAUUUCAAACCCACCUGGACACAUUCCUGUGCCACCUGCCCCAGGAAAUGUACAGGCUCUUCUCAAGAGAGUUCUCCGUGCUGAGCCACCCCAGCAGCACCUUCACAAAGCACCGAGCCCCCCUCGGUGUAAAGCUGUUUCUCUUCAGAGCAAGAGGAGUUUGGCUGUGCAAACGUGAACCGGCAGGUCUGGCUCUGGGUCCCGCGCUGAGUUUGUGAACGCAAGGUACUGAGAGUCCUUUGCCACAUGGUGGCAGCUUUUAGGUGAAAAAAGAGAGAUUCCAGCCCAGGGCUGCGAGCUGCGCUCUGGGAACGGCAAACCCGGCGGGCAGAGCAGCUGGAGCUGGGGGAGGAUCCCAGCUGCAGAAGGGCUGGAUGUCCCUGCACGCACACAGGUUCCUGCAAAAGCCCCAGGCUCUGGGCAGCAUCACCCCAAACCCGAGCUCUGCCAGACACAGCUGGCACAGCCCUCGCUGCCCUGCGUCAUCCUUGGCUUCCCAACUCGAGUGUGUGCCCGAGCCAAGGGCUAGAAUAACUGUCAGACAACAUUCAGCUUUCUGUAAUUUAAUGCUCCUUUAUCCCAAUUUGUUCUCCUGGAAGAAAACAAAAGCUUGCUGGUUUUAUGACGUAAACCCACAGGUUCUGGGAGUGUAAUUUCAGCCCAAAUGGCCACUUGAACUAGACAAAUUUCCACUGAAUACAGACUGCAAUGUGUUGCAAACCAAAGUGCGUUUUGUUCCCUCAGAAAGUUAAUUUUGUUACAAAAAAGUCUUUAUACACUAAAUAAAGAAGUUCCCAGAGAAAGACA